rnacentral:rRNA from 1 species
UACGAAGGGGGCUAGCGUUGUUCGGAAUUACUGGGCGUAAAGCGCGCGCAGGCGGCUAUCCAAGUCAGUGGUGAAAGCCCGGAGCUCAACUCCGGAACUGCCAUUGAAACUGUUUAGCUUGAGGACGAGAGAGGUGAGUGGAAUUCCCAGUGUAGAGGUGAAAUUCGUAGAUAUUGGGAAGAACACCGGUGGCGAAGGCGGCUCACUGGCUCAUUACUGACGCUCAGGCGCGAUAGCGUGGGGAUCAAACAGG